rnacentral:rRNA from 1 species
AUUGAACGCUGGCGGCAGGCCUAACACAUGCAAGUCGAGCGAGCGGCGGACGGGUGAGUAAUGUCUGGGAAACUGCCUGAUGGAGGGGGAUAACUACUGGAAACGGUAGCUAAUACCGCAUACCAUCAGAUGUGCCCCGAUGGGGUUUGCUAGGCGGUGGGGUAACGGCUCACCUAGGCGACGCUCCCUAGAUGGUCUGAGAGGAUGACCAGCAACACUGGAAGUGAGACACGGUCCAGACUCCUACGGGAGUCAGCAGUGGGGAAUAUUGCACAAUGGGCGCAAGCCUGAUGCAGCCAUGCCGCGUGUAUGAAGAAGGCCUUCGGGUUGUAAAGCACUUUAAGCGGGGAGGCGUUACCCGCAGAAGAAGCACCGGCUAACUCCGUGCCAGCCGCCGCGGUAAUUC